UGCGCAGGCGGUGAUGUAUGUCAGGUGUGAAAUCCCGGGGCUUAACUCCGGAAGUGCGCCUGAAACUGCAUUACUAGAGGCUUGGAGGGGACAGCAGAAUUUCUGGUGUAGCGGUGAAAUGCGUAGAUAUCAGAAGGAAUACCAAUGGCGAAGGCAGCUGUCUGGACAAGAUCUGACGCUCAUGCACGAAAGCGUGGGGAGCAAAAGG
rnacentral:rRNA from 1 species